AUCAAAACAAAACAAAAAACGAGAAAAAAAAGAGCAAAAGAAGUUGAAACUGAUAAAAUUUAAGAGUAACUGAAACCGAAAGCCCCUUAAACAGAAGAAGGGGAAAGCGGAGAAUUCGUUGUUCCCUUCGCACUUUUGAGGCAAGUCCUUCGUUUAAGUCCAAAUCGAUCGCUCUAUCUCUGUCUCCAUCCCUAUCUCUCUCAGCCCCCCGCCCCGCCCCCCUUAUACGAUAUAUUUCUCGCUCGCAGUCUCUUCUUAAAACGAUAGAUUUAAAACGAUAGAAAUUCGCAUAUACAUAUAUUUUUGAAAGUAUAGAAUUGCAACUUUUGAAAAAAUGCAACCAAAAAUAAAGACGAAAGACUAAAGCCAAAAACAAAAUGAAUUCAAUUGUUUGAAGCAAGAACAAGCGAAUAACGGAGAAAGUGCAACGAAGUGCCGUUAUUUCGAUAGUUUGUAUAGUUGUUUUUUUUUUCUUUUAAUACUUAUUUUCUGUUUCGUUUACUUAGAGAACUAAAAAUCGUUUACACACACAUACACACACACACACACUAACACGACAUCAAUUAAACAAAGACACAUACAAGCCAACACCCACCCACACAGACAAGUUUCUUAUAGAUGAUACAAACACAAAAGAACACAUUACAUGUGCACAGUGGGCACAUCCUGUGCUGCCCACUGGGCUCGCAAGACCUACAAAACAAGCAUACUUUUAAGCGCCAAAGUUAGGAGCGUCUUUUGAGGGUUCUAAAAACAAAAUAAGGAUACCAUUAAACACCAGACUUGUUGAGCAAAUAACAUUUAGCUGGAGCAUGUAAGCUAAAGUUGCCAUCGUCAGACGGAACUAACUUUAAAAUAAUAAAAAUAAUACAAGUUGAAACCAAAACCCAUUGUGAUAACAGCUGCGUAAACGAAACACGUUAGAACCUUACUUGUACGUAUUUCGAUUGCAAUUCGAUAAAACGGGGAUCCCCCACUAAGUCCUAAAUAAUACAAAUUCAAUCAAAAGCAAGCAAGCCAACAAUUUAUCCAAACUAGUUUUUAAACGAAUACAAAACUCACCCAGCCGCACAUACACGUAUUUUUACUGAUUUGAUAAGGAGGUGAACUAUUCUUGAUUUUCAUUUGUUGUGUUGACCAAUGCAAAUUUUAGCGACAAAUUAAGAAAAUACACAUACCAGAA
rnacentral:sRNA from 1 species